UUCAGUGACCUCCCGGGAAACUCUUGAAGUUCGGUGACCUCUCAGGUAAUAUUUGGCAAAGUUCAGUGGCCUCCUAAGAAACAUUUGAAGUUCGAUGACCUCCCAAGUUCCAUUUCGCAAAGUUCAGUGACUAUCGGGGUAAUUAACCCCUCGAAAUCCCAUAAAGAAGAUCCUACUUCGGAUAAUGAGGAAAUCUAAGCCUGCAGAAAGGAACAAUAUAGUGCAGCCACAACUAGUUUACUCAUUUUGGCGAUCAUUAUGACUUCAGAAAGGAGCUUAAAAUAUUGAACCUUCUUACUGGGUAUAUUUAUUUGAUCGACAAACUUGAUAGAAUUCGGUAGCAAGGUUCUGGAUUUGCAACACCAGAUGAGUUGUCAUCGCUUCUAUCCUGUACUUCAUUUCUGUUGGAAGUGAAAUAAGGAAUAAAAAUAUUGCUUUGCAUGAGCAUAAUCAAAGAUUGAGCAGAAUAAACUUGUGUGAUUACCGUCUGGUAAUUACCAUGUUUCCAAUCCUGUUUUGAGCUUUAGUAUCAUUCAUCAGUGUCUCGACUUCCAGAAGGGACGAUGGAACUGCUUUUGCAGGUCUCCGCUCAAUGGAAUUUUACAUUUAGUUUGGUAUCUUUGCAAUGGAGUAGAUUCUCUUAUGAAACACGAUCAAUUUCUUCUUUAGUUUUUUACUUACCCUGGUAUGUCAUAAAGGGAAAUUAAUGUCACAAAUUUCUUGUUGGAACACGUGCUCACUGCAUUAUCAUUGGUUAAUAAACGAUUAAGUUUCAGAAUA